rnacentral:rRNA from 1 species
AGAACGAACGCUGGCGGCAGGCUUAACACAUGCAAGUCGAAGGUGAAGCGGGACUUCGGUCCCGUGGAAACUGGCGCACGGGUGAGUAACGCGUGGGAAUCUACCCCGGGGUGGGGAAUAACCAUUGGAAACGAUGGCUAAUACCGCAUACGCCUUUAGAGGGAAAGCUAUAUGCGCCCUGGGAUGAGCCCGCGUCGGAUUAGGUAGUUGGUGGGGUAACGGCCUACCAAGCCGACGAUCCGUAGCUGGUCUGAGAGGAUGAUCAGCCACACUGGGACUGAGACACGGCCCAGACUCCUACGGGAGGCAGCAGUGGGGAAUAUUGGACAAUGGGGGAAACCCUGAUCCAGCCAUGCCGCGUGCGUGAAGAAGGCCUUAGGGUUGUAAAGCGCUUUCGGCGGGGAAGAUGAUGACGGUACCCGCAGAAGAAGCCCCGGCUAACUCCGUGCCAGCAGCCGCGGUAAUACGGAGGGGGCUAGCGUUGUUCGGAAUUACUGGGCGUAAAGGGCGCGUAGGCGGGCAAUCAAGUCAGAGGUGAAAGCCCUGGGCUCAACCUGGGAAUUGCCUUUGAAACUAAUUGUCUAGAGGCCGGAAGAGGAUGGCGGAAUUCCCAGUGUAGAGGUGAAAUUCGUAGAUAUUGGGAAGAACACCAGUGGCGAAGGCGGCCAUCUGGUCCGGUACUGACGCUGAGGCGCGAAAGCGUGGGGAUCAAACAGGAUUAGAUACCCUGGUAGUCCACGCCGUAAACGAUGAGUGCUAGGCGUCGGCACGCUUGCGUGUCGGUGCCGCAGCUAACGCGUGAAGCACUCC